GGUUAAGCGAAUAAGCGUACACGGUGGAUGCCUAGGCAAUCAGAGGCGAUGAAGGACGUGCUAAUCUGCGAAAAGCGUCGGUAAGGUGAUAUGAACCGUUAUACCCGACGAUAUCCGAAUGGGGAAACCCAGUAUCCAAUGGAUACUAUCAUUAACUGAAUCCAUAGGUUAAUGAGGCGAACCGGGAGAACUGAAACAUCUCAGUACCCCGAGGAAAAGAAAUCAACCGAGAUUCCCCUAGUAGCGGCGAGCGAACGGGGAGCAGCCCAGAGUCUUAAUCAAUAGCAGUGUCAGGAGAACGGUCUGGAAAGUCCGGCAGUAAAGGGUGAUAGCCCCGUAUCUGAAGAUGCUGUUAUUGUGAACUCGACGAGUAGGGCGGGACACGUGUUAUCCUGUCUGAAUAUGGGGGGACCAUCCUCCAAGGCUAAAUACUCCUGAUUGACCGAUAGUGAACCAGUACCGUGAGGGAAAGGCGAAAAGAACCCCGGCGAGGGGAGUGAAAAAGAACCUGAAACCGUGUACGUACAAGCAGUAGGAGCCUCUUUAUGGGGUGACUGCGUACCUUUUGUAUAAUGGGUCAGCGACUUAUAUUCUGUAGCAAGGUUAACCGUAUAGGGGAGCCGUAGGGAAACCGAGUCUUAACUGGGCGAAUGAGUUGCAGGGUAUAGACCCGAAACCCGGUGAUCUAUCCAUGGGCAGGUUGAAGGUUGGGUAACACUAACUGGAGGACCGAACCGACUAAUGUUGAAAAAUUAGCGGAUGACUUGUGGAUGGGGGUGAAAGGCCAAUCAAACCGGGAGAUAGCUGGUUCUCCCCGAAAGCUAUUUAGGUAGCGCCUCGUGAACUCAUCUUCGGGGGUAGAGCACUGUUUCGACUAGGGGGUCAUCCCGACUUACCAACUCGAUGCAAACUGCGAAUACCGAAGAAUGUUAUCACGGGAGACACACGGCGGGUGCUAACGUCCGUCGUGAAGAGGGAAACAACCCAGACCGCCAGCUAAGGUCCCAAAGUCAUGGUUAAGUGGGAAACGAAGUGGGAAGGCUCAGACAGCCAGGAUGUUGGCUUAGAAGCAGCCAUCAUUUAAAGAAAGCGUAAUAGCUCACUGGUCGAGUCGGCCCGCGCGGAAGAUGUAACGGGGCUAAACCAUGCACCGAAGCUGCGGCAGCGACACAAAGUGUUGUUGGGUAGGGGAGCGUUCUGUAAGCCUGCGAAGGUGUACUGUGAGGUAUGCUGGAGGUAUCAGAAGUGCGAAUGCUGACAUAAGUAACGAUAAUGCGGGUGAAAAACCCGCACGCCGGAAGACCAAGGGUUCCUGUCCAACGUUAAUCGGGGCAGGGUGAGUCGACCCCUAAGGCGAGGCUGAAAAGCGUAGUCGAUGGGAAACGGGUUAAUAUUCCCGUACUGGUGGUAACUGCGAUGGGGGAACGGAGAAGGCUAGGUUGUCCGGGCGACGGUCGUCCCGGUUCAAGCAGGUAGGCAGAGUGAUUAGGCAAAUCCGGUCACUUAAUGCUGAGAUGUGAUGACGAACCACCAAGGUGGUGAAGCAAUUGAUGCCCCGCUUCCAGGAAAAGCCUCUAAGCUUCAGGUUACCAACAAUCGUACCCCAAACCGACACAGGUGGUCAGGUAGAGAAUACUCAGGCGCUUGAGAGAACUCGGGUGAAGGAACUAGGCAAAAUGGUGCCGUAACUUCGGGAGAAGGCACGCUGGCGGUAGGUAAAGUCCCUCGCGGACGGCGCUGAAGCCAGUCGAAGAUACCAGCUGGCUGCAACUGUUUAUUAAAAACACAGCACUGUGCAAACACGAAAGUGGACGUAUACGGUGUGACGCCUGCCCGGUGCUGGAAGGUUAAUUGAUGGGGUCAGCCGUAAGGCGAAGCUCCUGAUCGAAGCCCCAGUAAACGGCGGCCGUAACUAUAACGGUCCUAAGGUAGCGAAAUUCCUUGUCGGGUAAGUUCCGACCUGCACGAAUGGCGUAAUGAUGGCCAGGCUGUCUCCACCCGAGACUCAGUGAAAUUGAACUCGCUGUGAAGAUGCAGUGUACCCGCGGCAAGACGGAAAGACCCCGUGAACCUUUACUAUAGCUUGACACUGAACAUUGAGCCUUGAUGUGUAGGAUAGGUGGGAGGCUUUGAAGUGUGGACGCCAGUCUGCAUGGAGCCAACCUUGAAAUACCACCCUUUAACGUUUGAUGUUCUAACCUAGGCCCAUAAACUGGGUCGGGGACCGUGUCUGGUGGGUAGUUUGACUGGGGCGGUCUCCUCCUAAAGAGUAACGGAGGAGCACGAAGGUUGGCUAAGCAUGGUCGGACAUCAUGCGGUUAGUGCAAAGGCAUAAGCCAGCUUGACUGCGAGAGUGACGGCUCGAGCAGGUACGAAAGUAGGUCUUAGUGAUCCGGUGGUUCUGAAUGGAAGGGCCAUCGCUCAACGGAUAAAAGGUACUCCGGGGAUAACAGGCUGAUACCGCCCAAGAGUUCAUAUCGACGGCGGUGUUUGGCACCUCGAUGUCGGCUCAUCACAUCCUGGGGCUGAAGUAGGUCCCAAGGGUAUGGCUGUUCGCCAUUUAAAGUGGUACGCGAGCUGGGUUUAGAACGUCGUGAGACAGUUCGGUCCCUAUCUGCCGUGGGCGUUGGAAGAUUGAGAGGGGUUGCUCCUAGUACGAGAGGACCGGAGUGAACGCACCACUGGUGUUCGGGUUGUCAUGCCAAUGGCAUUGCCCGGUAGCUAAGUGCGGAAGAGAUAACCGCUGAAAGCAUCUAAGCGGGAAACUUGCCUCGAGAUGAGUCUUCCCUGUCGCUUUAAGCGACCUAAAGGAACGUUUAAGACUAAGACGUUGAUAGGCUGGGUGUGUAAGCGUAGCGAUACGUUGAGCUAACCAGUACUAAUGAACCGUGAGGCUUAACCUG
rnacentral:rRNA from 1 species